AUUGAUAUUCCCUUCAGCUGAUCUUAUAUAAGUUCAACCUUGAGAGUAGGAGAUAUUUAUUGUGGAUCUGUACCUCGACCUCAGCUGCCACAUCUUCGGCUCCAGCCGAGUUAUGGAAGAUUGAUGCUUAUCAGAUUACGGAUAUACGACAGAUAUGAAGAUCACUAAGAAUGACCUAUUAAGUUAGCCGUAGCCCUCUUCGGUUCGAUCCUAGUUCACAUUGUCUUUGGAUAACCCACUAUAGAUCGGAUAUGACCAACCAAUCCCAGAUUACUUAAGGUCAAUGCAUGCUUCGUGGUCUCCAAAACCUCAACCCCAGACAAUCUAUUAUAGCUCA
rnacentral:lncRNA from 1 species